UAGGAUAAAUGACUGCUUCCUUCUGCCUCU
rnacentral:piRNA from 1 species